rnacentral:rRNA from 1 species
CAAAGGCCCCAAAGGAAGCCACGGCUAACUCUGUGCCAGCAGCCGCGGUAAUACAGAGGUGGCAAGCGUUGUUCGGUAUUAUUGGGCGUAAAGAGCACGUAGGUGGUUCUGUAAGUCAGAUGUGAAAGCCUUCUGUUCAAAGGAAGAACGGCAUCUGAAACUACAGAUCUUGAGUGUAAGAGGGGAGAGUGGAACUUCUGGUGGAGCGGUGAAAUGCGUAGAUAUCAGAAGGAACGUCGGCGGCGAAAGCGACUCUCUGGCCUAUUACUGACACUGAGUGUGCGAAAGUUAGGGGAGCAAACGGGAUUAGAUACCCCGGUAGUCCUAACUGUAAA